ensembl:snRNA U6 U6 spliceosomal RNA
AACGGUAUCACUCGGUUUGGCAGCACAUGGAAUGACACAGAGAAGAUCGCAUGGCCUCCAUGCAAGGAUGACCCACAAAUUCAUGAAUGUUCCAUAUUUUUU